AUGGUAGGAUAGAGGCCUACCAUGGUGGUAACGGGUAACGGGGUGUUAGGGCACGACACCGGAGAGGGAGCCUGAGAAACGGCUACCACAUCCAAGGAUGGCAGCAGGCGCGCAAAUUACCCAAUCCCGACACGGGGAGGUAGUGACAAUAAAUAACAAUACGGGGUUCUUUAGGAUCUCGUAAUUGGAAUGAGUACAAUUUAAAUCUCUUAACGAGGAACAAUUGGAGGGCAAGUCUGGUGCCAGCAGCCGCGGUAAUUCCAGCUCCAAUAGCGUAUAUUAAAGUUGUUGCAGUUAAAAAGCUCGUAGUUGAAUUUCGGGGUCGGUAGGUCGGUCGUGCCACUGGUAUGAACUGGUUUUACUGAUUCCUCCCUCUUGAAGAACUGUAAUGCCAUUAAUUUGGUGUUGCAGGGAAUCAGGACUGUUACUUUGAAAAAAUUAGAGUGUUUAAAGCAGGCUUUAGCUUGAAUACAUUAGCAUGGAAUAAUGAAAUAGGACGUUUGAUCAUAUUUUGUUGGUUUCUAGGAUUGACGUAAUGAUUAAUAGGGGUAGUUGGGGGCAUUAGUAUUCAAUUGUCAGAGGUGAAAUUCUUGGAUUUAUUGAAGACUAACUACUGCGAAAGCAUUUGCCAAGGAUGUUUUCAUUAAUCAAGAACGAAAGUUAGGGGAUCGAAGACGAUCAGAUACCGUCGUAGUCUUAACCAUAAACUAUGCCGACUAGGGAUCGGAUGAUGUUAAUUUUUUAAUGACUCAUUCGGCGCCUUACGGGAAACCAAAGUGUUUGGG
rnacentral:rRNA from 1 species